GGGCAUAUGGUGUAGCUGGUUAUCACGCCCGCUUAGCAUCUAGCUGAAUUGCGGGCGGUCUCCGGUUCGAGUCCGGAUUUGUCCA
rnacentral:tRNA from 1 species